UUUCCAGUGGCUCAGGCAGUAGAGCACUGCGCAGCAACGCAAAGGUCAUGGGUUCAGACCCAACGGAAAG